UAUAAUGCAGUCGAGCGACAGAUAAGGAGCUUGCUCCUUUGACGUUAGCGGCGGACGGGUGAGUAACACGUGGGUAACCUACCUAUAAGACUGGAAUAACUCCGGGAAACCGGGGCUAAUGCCGGAUAACAUUUAGAACCGCAUGGUUCUAAAGUGAAAGAUGGUUUUGCUAUCACUUAUAGAUGGACCCGCGCCGUAUUAGCUAGUUGGUAAGGUAACGGCUUACCAAGGCAACGAUACGUAGCCGACCUGAGAGGGUGAUCGGCCACACUGGAACUGAGACACGGUCCAGACUCCUACGGGAGGCAGCAGUAGGGAAUCUUCCGCAAUGGGCGAAAGCCUGACGGAGCAACGCCGCGUGAGUGAUGAAGGGUUUCGGCUCGUAAAACUCUGUUAUUAGGGAAGAACAAACGUGUAAGUAACUGUGCACGUCUUGACGGUACCUAAUCAGAAAGCCACGGCUAACUACGUGCCAGCAGCCGCGGUAAUACGUAGGUGGCAAGCGUUAUCCGGAAUUAUUGGGCGUAAAGCGCGCGUAGGCGGUUUCUUAAGUCUGAUGUGAAAGCCCACGGCUCAACCGUGGAGGGUCAUUGGAAACUGGGAGACUUGAGUGCAGAAGAGGAAAGUGGAAUUCCAUGUGUAGCGGUGAAAUGCGCAGAGAUAUGGAGGAACACCAGUGGCGAAGGCGACUUUCUGGUCUGUAACUGACGCUGAUGUGCGAAAGCGUGGGGAUCAAACAGGAUUAGAUACCCUGGUAGUCCACGCCGUAAACGAUGAGUGCUAAGUGU
rnacentral:rRNA from 1 species